rnacentral:rRNA from 1 species
GUCGGACGGGAUCCAUUCUAAGCUUGCUUAGGGUGGUGAGAGUGGCGCACGGCUGCGUAACGCGUGAGCAACCUGCCCAUAUCAGGGGUAUAGCCCGCAGAAAUUCGGAUUAACACCGCAUGAGAUCACACUUCCGCAUGGGAGAGUGAUUAAAUAUUUAUAGGAUAUGGAUGGGCUCGCGUGACAUUAGCUAGUUGGUAGGGUAACGGCUUACCAAGGCUACGAUGUCUAGGGGCUCUGAGAGGAGAAUCCCCCACACUGGUACUGAGACACGGACCAGACUCCUACGGGAGGCAGCAGUAAGGAAUAUUGGUCAAUGGAGGGAACUCUGAACCAGCCAUGCCGCGUGCAGGAUGACUGCCCUAUGGGUUGUAAACUGCUUUUGUACGGAACGAAAAGCCUGGGGCUAAUACCCCCGGGUCAUGACGGUACCGUAAGAAUAAGCACCGGCUAACUCCGUGCCAGCAGCCGCGGUAAUACGGAGGGUGCAAGCGUUACUCGGAAUCACUGGGCGUAAAGGAUGCGUAGGCUGGAAAUCAAGUCGAGAGUGAAAUCCAACGGCUCAACCGUUGAACUGCUCUCGAAACUGGUUACCUAGAAUAUGGGAGAGGUAGAUGGAAUUGGUGGUGUAGGGGUAAAAUCCGUAGAUAUCACCAGGAAUACCGAUUGCGAAAGCGAUCUACUGGAACAUUAUUGACGCUGAGGCAUGAAAGCGUGGGGAGCAAACAGGAUUAGAUACCCCUGGUAGUCCACGCCCUAAACGAAGCACACUAAUUGGUGCGAUGCUAGUCAUUGCAGUAAUGCACUUAACAGAAUAAGUG